UGAUGUGAAAGAAGAAUAUCCUGAGCUAUCAUAAAAGGCAUUCAAUGUUCUGCUACCAUUGUGGUUGUGCCACCAUGGUGGAAAGGGCCUUUUCUACGUACUCAUUCAUAAAAAAUAAGUAUCGUAAUAAACUGUCUGUAAGUUCAGACUUACGGGUUAUUUGUCAUGUGUGGAGCCAGAUUUCAAAAAAUUAAGUUCAAGCAAACAUGCUCAAAGUUCG